ensembl:lncRNA
AUUUCUCUCUGGAGAUUGCUCCUCUUGAAGUCUUUUUCAGUAAGCCCAUGAUGAGGAACAGGGGAAAAAAAAGCAUGCCUGAUAUUGUAUGAAAACCUGGUGGAGACUAAUGCAUUGUCAAAACUGGUUAAGAACACUUCAUCUCUGUGAAAAUAAUUUUUGAGUAUUACUGCUAAUGCUGCCAAGGAAAUAAAUUUUAUACACAUUAUGUUCUGCAUGAGGGCUGUUGUUUUUCUUCUUAUGGAAGUCAAGUUAAAUAAGUCUGUCUUGGAUGUGAAGCAGAAAAUUAUGAUGUUCUUAUUAUCUGCACGUUCCUUCCACAUUCAGAAAUGGUGAAAAUGAGGAUUGUUUUCGGUAGAGACUCCCUUUAGCUUAACUUAAAGCAUUUUAUUUAUAUUUUAACAAGACAUUUUCCCAUCUUUCUUUUUAUGUUACAUAGCUGUAUUCUCUUGGUAUUUGCGUACAUUUUGUAUUUGAAAAUCAGGUAGCACACUAUUUUUUCAUAACGAAGACAAAACACAUUCUGUUGGUAUUAUGUAUGCAUAUGUUAAUUUUAAAACAUACAGUCCUGUUAUUGCAGCUAAGUCCAGUGCUCUCAGAUGGUAGGUAGCUAAUAAAAGAUGGAUAAUGAUUAUGUCAUUAUGUAGGUGCCCUUGAAAAAGAAUCUUCUACUCGUUUACUUUCUAAUCAGCAGAAAUGGUUUUGAUUUUUUUUUAACAUCUCUACUUUUUAACAUUAGCAACAAGAUUUAACAUUAUCAACAGAUUUACUGGUGGUACAAUGUGUGUAAAAGCUGGGAGAUGGAAGAGCUGAAAUGAAGUAGAAAGCCUCAGCUUAUUUCAAUAUAUUUAUUCAGAUCCUUCAGAUUUCUGCUGGAAAUGGAACAGAACACAAGUAUCCUAAAUAUUAUUUGAGAGGUCUUGAAAAUUUCCAGGAAGGUUCACAGCCAAACAGAGCUGCUUUUCAUGUCAGGAUAAUAUCUGCAAUACGCUGCAUGCAGUGGUAGAUUAUUUUUUUGUUCUGAUUUUUAUUUACAAUAAAAUAAUAAACAUUAACAAAAAUGCAGCCAUAAAAUAAUUUACUUCUCAUUGUU